rnacentral:rRNA from 1 species
GACGAACGCUGGCGGCGUGCUUAACACAUGCAAGUCGAACGGAAAGGCCCUGCUUUUGUGGGGUGCUCGAGUGGCGAACGGGUGAGUAACACGUGAGUAACCUGCCCUUGACUUUGGGAUAACUUCAGGAAACUGGGGCUAAUACCGGAUAUGAGCCCCUGCUGCAUGGUGGGGGUUGGAAAGUUUCGGCGGUUGGGGAUGGACUCGCGGCUUAUCAGCUUGUUGGUGGGGUAGUGGCUUACCAAGGCUUUGACGGGUAGCCGGCCUGAGAGGGUGACCGGCCACAUUGGGACUGAGAUACGGCCCAGACUCCUACGGGAGGCAGCAGUGGGGAAUAUUGCACAAUGGGCGGAAGCCUGAUGCAGCAACGCCGCGUGCGGGAUGACGGCCUUCGGGUUGUAAACCGCUUUCGCCUGUGACGAAGCGUGAGUGACGGUAAUGGGUAAAGAAGCACCGGCUAACUACGUG